CUGCAGCCAGUUAAACUAACUGUGUUCCUUUCUCUGUGGGGGCCCAGCAUGCAGUGACUGGAAACAGCAGCCUUGGUAGGGUACACAGCCUGUUGCUUUUAUGGGUUGUCCUAAGGGACCUUGGAGACAGUC